ACCUUUACCUUUUUUUAUUGAGUCACUUGGACAGUGGACAGCCAUAAAAUAAUUACCAAUCGUUAUAUGACGACCACGAAAGACCUUAUUAACUUAUGGGUAUAGAAGAAAAUGUUACGGAACAAUCGUUUUUUUCUUUCAUAGAGUUUGUUAUUUAAGGACUAUCAAGUGUAACUGUAAAUCUCCAGGAUUAAACUUAUUGUCUUUUGUGGAUGGAACGGCAUGUAAAUGUUGCCUAUUUCAACAAACCUUGUUAGCUGGAAAAGUUCUGAUUUAGAUGCAAUAUAGACACAUUUCUACUGUCAAAUAGUAAGAACUCUUUGAAUGACCAUUCUCUAAAGAUUUGACUAAUGCUUAUGUUAUGCUAGAUGGCAAACUCUAUAAGUCUCACUGGAUGUAACUCAAUCACAGCAUGAAUACAACUUUAUGCAUCCAAGCUUUACUAUCCAAUGUCAAAAUGUAUAUAGUUUAUUUAUAUUCAAUAUUAUAAUGCUAGAUAUAUAUAUAUAUAUAUACUUUUAUAUUUGUAUUUGAUUCUAUUAAAAUGUUGAAGU